rnacentral:rRNA from 1 species
UACGUAGGGUGCGAGCGUUGUCCGGAAUUACUGGGCGUAAAGAGCUCGUAGGUGGUUUGUCGCGUUGUCCGUGAAAACUCACAACUCAAUUGUGGGCGUGCGGGCGAUACGGGCAGACUGGAGUACUGCAGGGGAGACUGGAAUUCCUGGUGUAGCGGUGAAAUGCGCAGAUAUCAGGAAGAACACCCGUGGCGAAGGCGGCUCUCUGGGACGGUACUGACGCUGAGACGCGAAAGCGUGGGGAGCAAACAGG